rnacentral:tRNA from 1 species
GCCCAGGUGGUGGAAUUGGCAGACACGCUAGAUUCAGGGUCUAGUGGCCGCAAGGUCAUGGAGGUUCGAGUCCUCUCCUGGGCA